rfam:Common-moorhen coronavirus HKT21, complete genome
GAGUAAAGGGUUCUAGUGAUGCCCGUCUAGAACCCCAACAGUCUGGCACUCAGCCGGAUAUUGUAAAAAGGGCGUUUC